rnacentral:rRNA from 1 species
AUGCGAGCAGCUCCCCGAAGCGGUGCUCAUGAAGCUCCUGCUCCCAACAGCUGCGGCGCUUGUCCCUCUCCCACGGACAUCAUAGGUAGUUUGGUGGAGCGGUGCUGCAACUGGUGGCGGCGGCGGUGGCCAUGGGUGAGGCCAUGGACGAGUAGACUAAUGGAAGACGAUGCCUCAGUGCUACAACCUGUCAGUUUUUUUGCUGGACCAGUUAGGAAAAAAGCUGCAACCAGUUGCUGCCGCAGCACCACCAUGGAAUCCACUCAGUCCAUCCAUCUAGCUCCAUUCCGACGAAGCGAAACCUCCACCCCCGGGGAAGCUUCAACCAGCUGA